UACGGGGGGAGCAAGCGUUGUUCGGAUUUACUGGGCGUAAAGGGCGCGUAGGCGGUCAGCACAGGUCAGUUGUGAAAUCUCCGGGCUUAACUCGGAAAGGUCAACUGAUACUGUGCGACUAGAGUGCGGAAGGGGCAACUGGAAUUCUCGGUGUAGCGGUGAAAUGCGUAGAUAUCGAGAGGAACACCUGCGGCGAAGGCGGGUAGCUGGGCCGACACUGACGCUGAGGCGCGAAAGCCAGGGGAGCGAACGGG
rnacentral:rRNA from 1 species